ensembl:lncRNA
GUCCAACCUGCCUGUAGGUUCGACCCUCAGGUUGGGGACAGCGCUUAGGGGUCCAACCUGCCUGUAGGUUCGACCCUUAAGGUUGGGGAGAGCGCUGAGGGGUCCCACCUGCCUGUAGGUUCUCCUCAGACAGCGCGUGGUGCCACGGUGUCGCGUACACACUGCGAUGCCGACGAGAUGGGCUGAUUUUGUGCCUCAAAGGUUCAAAAACAUUGUUUUGUCUUGACGUGUUGGGCAAUCCGAUGGAAUACCAGGAUCCCCCCUCACUCACUCAAAAUCAAGUAUAGACAUCAGCCUGACGAAAGACGAUGUACCGCCCUAAUGAGCAUGUGCACGUCAGUCAGAUGCUUUAUGGAUUACCUUCCUCUGUCAGCCCUUCUAAGGCUUUGGGAGGCUUCAUCUGUCAGCGCCGAAACGUCUUCAUCAUCCCAGGGCGGGCGUUGACACUGUAAUGACAGGUUACAAGGCCAACUUGCCUUUGCCAAAAACGCAGUUGUAGUGCUGCCACUGGAAUCGACUCCGAACUUUGAGGAUCUUCCAUUUGGCACGUUCUCGAAAUGUACAGUCUUAACUGAAAGAAAUCUUUCCAUGUAAGGGCAUUUAGAAAACAGAUGCACGCAUCCAGCUGCUGCUCUGUGGGGUCUUGUAGCGUUAGGUCGAAGGAGGGCUUCCACUUUCCCAGCCAUUCCCAAAGCUCCCGCUACCAUGGUCCUCAAAGCAGCCACUUAUUGGCUCUGGAAACUAAACAUCAAGAAUGUCUUUGUCGGAGGGAUUCAAACCCACAAGGCCGGCAAUGCCUGAGGAUUCCAUCUCAAAUGCGUCAGUUAUUCAACUCAUCCUGUCUGCUUGGGAAGUUUUGAUAGGAAUGUUGGGUAACACUUUAUAAUAAAAAUGUAUAAACGAAAGGUCAUAUGGCAUUUAUUAUUCUUAAGUUUAUGAUACAAUUAUUAUUCAAAAAACGAUCACUUUUAAUUAAAUUAAUCAUUUACAAACGAUGCAUAUUAAAUGAUUAAUCAUGUGUUAAAGAGCACAGAUUUUCCCAAUGAGGUGUGAUGCUGAUUAGCCGUUACAAGCCAUGUCAAAUCGACCCUCUGGUGAC